rnacentral:rRNA from 1 species
GACGAACGCUGGCGGCGUGCUUUACACAUGCAAGUCGAACGGUGAAGGUGGAGCUUGCUCCGCCGGAUCAGUGGCGAACGGGUGAGUAACACGUGGGCAACCUGCCCCUAACUUUGGGAUAACUACUCGAAAGAGUAGCUAAUACCGGAUAUGAAGUCUGUAGGCAUCUAUGGAUUUGGAAAGUUUUUCGGUUAGGGAUGGGCCCGCGGCCUAUCAGCUUGUUGGUGAGGUAGUGGCUUACCAAGGCGACGACGGGUAGCCGGCCUGAGAGGGCGACCGGCCACAGUGGGACUGAGACACGGCCCAGACUCCUACGGGAGGCAGCAGUGGGGAAUAUUGCGCAAUGGGCGAAAGCCUGACGCAGCAACGCCGCGUGCGGGAUGAAGGCCUUCGGGUUGUAAACCGCUUUCAGCAGGGAAGAAGCGAAAGUGACGGUACCUGCAGAAGAAGCACCGGCUAACUACGUGCCAGCCGCCGCAGUAA